rnacentral:lncRNA from 1 species
AUACAACAAAAGACCAAUUCAUGGUUGAGAAAAUUUCAGAAAGGCUAGUUUAAAAUUGACUGGAUUUUUACUUAUUUUUAAUUUCCUGUUUGGCCUGGGUGUAUAUAGGUGUCAUAUUCAUCAGUUGUCGUAGGUGUGGUGUAGGUAAUUGUUGUCGAUUUCAGGUGAACAGGACUGUGACAUAGGUUACUAAUUGGAAAAACAUUAUUUCGAAAACUUCUGUGCUAAAAAUUGGAUUGAUUAUCUCUGCCUGCAGGAUUAUCAAUAAGUGUUUAAUACCAACAAAUCUAUAUUGGAAUGAAUUCUUAGGAGAGUUUUAAAUAAUUUGAAAUAAAG